rnacentral:misc_RNA from 1 species
UUUCCGUAGGUGAACCUGCGGAAGGAUCAUUACUGAGUGAGGGCCCCUCGGGGUCCAACCUCCCACCCGUGUUUAACGAACCUUGUUGCUUCGGCGGCCCGCCUCACGGCCGCCGGGGGGCAUCCGCCCCCGGGCCCGCGCCCGCCGAAGCCACCUGUGAACGCUGUCUGAAGUAUGCAGUCUGAGACAAUUAUUAAAUUAAUUAAAACUUUCAACAACGGAUCUCUUGGUUCCG